rnacentral:rRNA from 1 species
GUAGGGAAUCUUCCACAAUGGACGCAAGUCUGAUGGAGCAACGCCGCGUGAGUGAAGAAGGGUUUCGGCUCGUAAAGCUCUGUUGUUAAAGAAGAACGUGGGUGAGAGUAACUGUUCACCCAGUGACGGUAUUUAACCAGAAAGCCACGGCUAACUACGUGCCAGCAGCCGCGGUAAUACGUAGGUGGCAAGCGUUAUCCGGAUUUAUUGGGCGUAAAGCGAGCGCAGGCGGUCUUUUAAGUCUAAUGUGAAAGCCUUCGGCUCAACCGAAGAAGUGCAUUGGAAACUGGGAGACUUGAGUGCAGAAGAGGACAGUGGAACUCCAUGUGUAGCGGUGAAAUGCGUAGAUAUAUGGAAGAACACCAGUGGCGAAGGCGGCUGUCUGGUCUGUAACUGACGCUGAGGCUCGAAAGCAUGGGUAGCGAACAGGAUUAGAAACCCUAGUAGUCC